rnacentral:rRNA from 1 species
AUUGCCCUAGUAACGGCGAGUGAAGCGGCAACAGCUCAAAUUUGAAAUCUGGCUCUUUCAGAGUCCGAGUUGUAAUUUGCAGAGGGCGCUUUGGCUUUGGCAGCGGUCCAAGUUCCUUGGAACAGGACGUCACAGAGGGUGAGAAUCCCGUACGUGGUCGCUAGCUAUUGCCGUGUAAAGCCCCUUCGACGAGUCGAGUUGUUUGGGAAUGCAGCUCUAAAUGGGAGGUAAAUUUCUUCUAAAGCUAAAUAUUGGCCAGAGACCGAUAGCGCACAAGUAGAGUGAUCGAAAGAUGAAAAGCACUUUGGAAAGAGAGUCAAACAGCACGUGAAAUUGUUGAAAGGGAAGCGCUUGCAGCCAGACUUGCUUGCAGUUGCUCAUCCGGGCUUUUGCCCGGUGCACUCUUCUGUAGGCAGGCCAGCAUCAGUUUGGGCGGUGGGAUAAAGGUCUCUGUCACGUACCUUCCUUCGGGUUGGCCUUAUAGGGGAGACGCCAUACCACCAGCCUGGACUGAGGUCCGCGCAUCUGCUAGGAUGCUGGCGUAAUGGCUGUAAGCGGCCCGUCUUGAAACACGGACCAAGGAGUCUAACAUCUAUGCGAGUGUUUGGGUGUCAAGCCCGAACGCGUAAUGAAAGUGAACGGAGGUGGGAACCCGCAAGGGUGCACCAUCGACCGAUCCUGAAGUUUACGGAAGGAUUUGAGUAAGAGCAUGGCUGUUGGGACCCGAAAGAUGGUGAACUAUGCUUGAAUAGGGUGAAGCCAGAGGAAACUCUGGUGGAGGCUCGCAGCGGUUCUGACGUGCAAAUCGAUCGUCAAAUUUGGGCAUAGGGGCGAAAGA